rnacentral:rRNA from 1 species
GAUCCUGGCUCAGAUUGAACGCUGGCGGCAGGCUUAACACAUGCAAGUCGAACGGUAACAUAAAGAAGCUUGCUUCUUUGAUGACGAGUGGCGGACUGGUGAGUAAUGCUUGGGAAUCUAGCUUAUGGAGGGGGGAUAACUACGGGAAACUGUAGCUAAUACCGCGUAGUAUCGAGAGAUGAAAGUGUGGGACCUUCGGGCCACAUGCCAUAGGAUGAGCCCAAGUGGGAUUAGGUAG